UACGGGGGGGGCAAGCGUUGUUCGGAAUUACUGGGCGUAAAGGGCUCGUAGGCGGCCAACUAAGUCAGACGUGAAAUCCCUCAGCUUAACUGGGGAACUGCGUCUGAUACUGGAUGGCUUGAGAUUGGGAGAGGGAUGCGGAAUUCCAGGUGUAGCGGUGAAAUGCGUAGAUAUCUGGAGGAAUACCGGUGGCGAAGGCGGCAUCCUGGACCAACACUGACGCUGAGGAGCGAAAGCCAGGGGAGCAAACGGG
rnacentral:rRNA from 1 species